UACGUAGGGUGCGAGCGUUAUUCGGAAUUACUGGGCGUAAAGCGUGCGCAGGCGGUUUUGUAAGCCAGGUGUGAAAUCCCCGGGCUCAACCUGGGAAUGGCAUUUGGGACUGCAAGGCUGGAGUGCGGCAGAGGAGACUGGAAUUCCUGGUGUAGCAGUGAAAUGCGUAGAUAUCAGGAGGAACACCGAUGGCGAAGGCAGGUCUCUGGGCUGACACUGACGCUCAUGCACGAAAGCGUGGGGAGCAAACAGG
rnacentral:rRNA from 1 species